UUCUGACUAUAGCUGUUAAAUCUGUCUAGUCUAGGGUGUCAUUCAAAGCCAUUGUUUCUUUGUCGAUUUUCUCUUCAGAUGAUCUGCUCAUUGAGGAAACCAGUGAACAAACUACCAUGCCUUCUUACUCCUGUGAACCUUUAGAAGAUUUGAAACUCCUCUUCAAACGACUAUGAAGUGUCUCCCCGCCUGGUCUCCCUGGGGAGACUCUUCCAGUUGCCGUUACUUCAAGCUGACCGAUGAUCCUUUCUACUUGAGAUUUGCAUGGGUUUGUCUACCUUGGAUUCAGCUGCCUCUGCCUUUGGUAACUCCUCUGUAUAAAUUACCCAACUGAUCGAUGUUGACUUGUAGGUAGGGACGUCGCUGUGCCCCUCUUCAGCAGGAAGAAGUUACAGAAGAUAAAAACUUUCCAGCCUCAGCGACCUUAAAGAUUGAAGGGUCAAAAUUGUUUGGGGAGUGGGGGGACGGGGUGAUGAGGAGAACAAAGGCAAGAGAAAUGCAGCUAAAAUUAAAUUACCUCAUAGUUUUCAGCCCACUGAUAAAUACACAAGACCUGCAGAGCAUGACAUUCCCCAAGGAACUUGUGGCUGCGUUCAUGUUAAUGUUUUGCUAGAGACUAAAAGCAACCUGGUCUUGACAAUAAUAGCCAGAUCUCCAGGAUCCUAUAAAUAUUCUUUCACAUGUAGAAAUCCCUUUAGAGACUUAGGUUAUCUAUAUACUUCUAAGUUUGGGGGUGGGUGGCAUGUAAUCAGUUGCUCCUCACAAUCCUAAGUGCAACUCAUUGCCCCGCGGGGGUCCUAUGCCUGUGCUAUAAUAAAGGCACCUUCUUGUAUCGUAAGAUGUCUCAGGAAUUCUUUCUCCACGAACCCACAUCAGUAACUGCUAGGAGAGCGGUGAUAUGGGGUAUUUAGGAAACACAGACAAGGGCUACAUUCUGGUGGAGUGGGGGAGUGUAUUACAGAGGGGCUGAGUUUCUUAAGAGGGAAUCCCAUUAGCUCCAUGAUUGGCUCAGUGAUCCCUGCAGCCAGUUACACUAGUUAAGCAGCUGUGAGGGUUGAGCUUAGCUCACAUCAUUCUCUUGCUCUCACUGGUUGGGGACGUGCCUGUCCAUCACUGUAACCACCUGCCUCAUGGGGCUCUUCAGCAUCUGAGGUACAGAUCAUCUGAACUGAGAUGUGCUGUAAAUGUAAAUUAUAUUGCAGAUUUCAGAAAUUGAGUGUAAAAAAAAUCACAUUAAUAUUUUUAUAUUACAUGUUCAAACGAUAACUGUCUU